UCACUAUGAUGAUUGCUAUCCAACAUUCGCAGUUUCCACCAGAAAGGUUUUUCCUCAUGUUGGCCAUUCCUUCCUUGGAUGUCUGAGUGA
ensembl:snoRNA SNORD14 Small nucleolar RNA SNORD14